rnacentral:rRNA from 1 species
GACGAACGCUGGCGGCGUGCUUAACACAUGCAAGUCGAACGGAAAGGCCCUGCUUUUGUGGGGUGCUCGAUUGGCGAACGGGGGAGUAACACGUGAGUAACCUGCCCUUGACUUUGGGAUAACUUCAGGAAACUGGGGCUAAUACCGGAUAGGAGCUACUGCUGCAUGGUGGGGGUUGGAAAGUUUCGGCGGUUGGGGAUGGACUCGCGGCUUAUCAGCUUGUUGGUGGGGUAGUGGCUUACCAAGGCUUUGACGGGUAGCCGGCCUGAGAGGGUGACCGGCCACAUGGGGCCUGAGAUAGGGACCAGAAUCCUACGGGAGGCAACGGUGGGGAACAUUGCACAGUGGGCGGACGCCUGAUACAGCAACGCCGCGUGCGGAAUGACGGCCUUCGGGUUAAAAACCGCUUUCGCCUGUGACGAAGCGUGAGUGACGGUAAUGGGUAAAGAAGCACCGGCUAACUACGUG